CGAAAGCCUGACGGAGCAAGACCGCGUGGGGGAGGAAAGCCUUUGGGUUGUAAACCCCUUUUCUCAGGGAAGAAGAAAGUGACGGUACCUGAGGAAUCAGCCUCGGCUAACUCCGUGCCAGCAGCCGCGGUAAUACGGAGGAGGCAAGCGUUAUCCGGAAUGAUUGGGCGUAAAGCGUCCGCAGGUGGCUUGUCAAGUCUGCUGUCAAAGACUGGGGCUUAACUCCGGGCAGGCAUUGGAAACUGACAGGCUAGAGUGCAGGAGGGGUAGAGGGAAUUCCCGGUGUAGCGGUGAAAUGCGUAGAUAUCGGGAAGAACAUCGGUGGCGAAAGCGCUUUGCUAUACCGAAACUGACACUCAGGGACGAAAGCUAGGGGAGCG
rnacentral:rRNA from 1 species